ACGCGUGGUUUGCUCGCGAUAUUUGCUAAUCAGUAUUGUUGCUUGGACUGUGUAUCUUUCGGUGGUUUUCUUCAGUUUUUUUCGUAUCUUUGUGAUUUGGCGUGUACAGAGGAAGAUCCUAGUUGUAUCUAAAAGUGUGCAGCUAAGUUCCAAGAGUGGAUGGCGUCACCUGAUGGCAGCAAAAAGGAUGAAAAAACGGUUUUGCAACAUGGUUUUCAGCUUUAUAUCAUGCUAAAAGCCAUUAAUGAUUUAGAGAACAUUCAGUCCCGGUUUGACCUGAAGUUAAUACGUCAAGCAUUUUUAAGUGUGCAUGCAUGUGAAACAGAAAAAGUAUGAAGCUGGCACAAUCAAGUCGUAUUUGAUGAGUAUUCAUUUGUCCUGUCCGACAAACGAGAUACAAUUUAAUUCGGUUGGGUAGACGUAAGCUCAGCGCGAGAAAAAGUAAAGAUGUGGUCUGCAUCAUACAGGAGAGAAUCAAGCACAAGGAAAUGGCAAAAGCUUGAAGAAGAUAUGCUGAAUCGUUUGACACCAUCAAACAUCAGGAAGUUGGAGAAAAGCGCAGCAGCUCGAUAGGCGGCUAAGAUCAUUGGCCAAUACUCCGAUUCAGCUGAGUCCACGCCUGUCACUCUAUCCAGUUUUACCUUGGUUAGGGAUUUCCUGUUCACUCAAAUCUUUAUAGACAAUGCCAAUCGACCAGGUGUCCUAGCACAUAAUGACGAUGGAGGAAUUUACAAACAUCCGAAAGCAAGAUGACUAUUACCUCAUAACAGUGAAGAAGCACAAAACUGCACAUGUUCAUGGACCAGCUCGUGUUGUAUUGAGUGAAAAACUGAAGGCGUGGCUGUCAAUAUUCGUUGGCAUAAUGCGAGCCCAUGUUACCACCCGAAUGAAUGGCCCAGUAUUCAUAUCCUGGAACGGAAACCCUAUGAAUUCUGUGCACAUCACUAAGGCAGUACAAUCUGUCUUUAAAAAAGCUGGAGUGGAUGUUAAAGUAACAUCGACAUCGUUUCGGAAAGCAGCAGUGACGAAAGUUAAUGUCGAUAAGCCAGAGAUGAGUGCGAAAUUGGCUAGCCUUAUGGCUCACAACGAAGCGACGGCAAAGAGAUAUUAUCUCCUGACAGAGAAAUCCAAAACUUCCAUAGAGGCUUCACGAAAUCUUGGUCGCCUGAUGCGAACUGAUGACGGGUGUGGAGAUAACAUUGAGACUCCUUCAUAUGACAGUUCAUUAAGCUACGUUAAAUACGAGAAAUACAACGGGUCAAAGACAAGAUUCUCCCCACGGAUUCUGCGUAGAAGGAUCGACUUGCUUUUUCCGGACAAAGAAGUCUAUUAAUGAAGUGAAUAUUUAUGGAAGACGAAAUCCGAAUUGCGAUUCUCUAAUGAAUACAUUUGUCAUUGGAAUAUGGAAUUUUAGAAUUAUUCCAGUGCUGAGUUAUAUGGAAUAAAGAAAAGGGUAUGCAGUCUUGACGAGGAACUGCCUUCUCAUUGGUUGAUUUUUGAAGAAAAACGGCUUCUGAGAGCUCUGCAUCAUUUUCCGCCUUUAUUAUCUAUAGUCACCAAUUUUGUUGAAGGUCGCGCCAUUACAAUUUAACAUGAAAUAUUGCUGUGCCUUCUAUAAAUGGCCAGCAAUACAAUAUGCACACGCAACCAAAGGAAUGCACCCGAUUAGGUUAAAUAAAUGCCCCUAUUCUAUUUCUCUUUUUAAAAACCCGCUUAGACCAGUUCAUGCCCCUUGCUUCAACGUUUUAGGUGCAAAGUAAUACGGAAAGAUGCAAUUUAGGUGCCAUAGAGGAGUGAAGUUAGGUUUUGCUAUAAAAAUUUAAGUUUAAAAAAGAGAAAGUUAUCAAGAGUUAUUAAGGAAUAUUUAGGUAGUUUAGCUAUAUUAAAACGAACCAUGUUUACUCGACAAAAUGCAUGUGUGAUAGACAGUAAAAAGACACUGCAUGUUAAGAAUUAAAGUUUUUAUUGUCAAUAAAAAUAUAUCUCCAUGAA
rnacentral:lncRNA from 1 species